rnacentral:misc_RNA from 1 species
AAGACUAUAGACCUGCGGAGUACCUGCGGAGGGAUCAUUACUGAGUGAGGGCCCUCUGGGUCCAACCUCCCACCCGUGUUUAUUGUACCUUGUUGCUUCGGUGGGCCCGCCGCAAGGCCGCCGGGGGCUUCCGCCCCGGGCCCGCGCCCACCGGAGACAAACUGAACUCUGUCUGAAUGUUGCAGUCUGAGUAAAAACUUAAUAAGUUAAAACUUUUAGCAACGGAUCUCUAGAUCGGAA